rnacentral:tRNA from 1 species
GUGGGCGUAGCUCAACGGCAGAGCGCUUGACUGUGGAUCAAGAGGCUGCGGGUUCGAGACCCGCCGUCCACCCCA